GGUAGCUCAGUGUACGCGCGCGGAGACGUACGUCGGUACAGCGCGGCUCGCGGGGGCCCGCUAGCUUGGUGCGGCAUGGUAACCACGCCAUUGGUGCGAUGCAGCGCAGUGGAGGGGCUCAGGGACACGCAGGGUAUGGCGACACGAAGUAGCGCUGCACGGCCUCGCAGCAACGCAAGCGACGGGAGCUACAGAGGCUCAGCGCGGACGCGCCCACGUCAGUGUUGCAACGCAGCGUCGUAGGGCUCAGGCGUGCACAGGGAAACGUGGUACGAANNN
rnacentral:lncRNA from 1 species